UAUUCACGUAAUCUAAUUAUGCC
rnacentral:siRNA from 1 species